AUACAGAAUUGUCAGGCUCGGUGACUUGGGGCUCUUUUCACGAAGCAACCUUUGCUAAUGUUAACCUUAACUCCCAUUCUCUAACACUGCGCUAAGGUUACCUCAGCGACUUACGCUCACCUUAGUGCUUUGUGAAAGGAGGCCCAG